GCACGCUGUCCGUGGCUUUAAUGAGCACGUGAUUUCAAGUCAAUUGGCAGACAUGCACCAUGUAAGUAAGUACUGGGGCUCUUCCCCGCCACCCCAUCAGGCUUCUUCCAUUCUGAGGAAGCAGCAUUCUAAGCCGACAGUUAAAUCUCCUCCCACACUGCUUGGAUGAGCCCCAAGGAAGGACCUGCAGUCAGCUCGGGCAGACUUUGAGCAGCAACCAGUCUCCGCCAGACACUGCAGGGCAGCACUUGGCCUACAACCAUGAGGAAAAGUCAGGAGUUUGGGGUUAUCUAUCUAUAUAAAACCCUAAUAUG